GGGAUACCACUUUUGGUCCUUUAUAACUCGAACAACCCACGUUUCUCCUUGGAAGAUAAAUAACUCCCCAGUUCCCCCUCAACUUUCUUCAUCUUCCUUUGUUCGACUAUGUAAAUCUCUCUAGAUGGCAUUCUUGCAGAUUUAAAGUAACGAAAUCAAAUAAUUUCUUCCUUUGCUGCCAUACCUCACUGAUUUAGAGCUCGGGUAUUACCUCCGCCAACCUAGAAGAAAUUUGUCUGCUUGCUUCUUUAAUUUUUGUGGUCAUACAUGUUGAUGGCGGCAUAGAGAGAUUGAACCCUGGAAAAGAACAAUGGGGAUUUGUGAAAGAGCUUAGAGUUUCAAGAAAAAAAUCAAUUAAGUAGCUCGAUUUUACGUAUCUACUUCUCCUUCUUAAAACUGGUAUCUGGAUAGCAAAUCUUCAGCUGGUUCGUUGUCCUGUUUGAAACAUAAACACUUGUGAAGGGACAAUGCAGACACUAGAUGCCAGGCAAAUAGAGCUGUUUUUAACUGAGGGAUACAAAUGUGGGAGCUGGGACUACAAAGAGAUUAGGUCUUAUCAAAUCAGGACACACUCUGAUGUAGCAACAGGGGCCAUUUUGGAUAUUGUGCACCUAAAGGACCGAGCUACUGCAGGCUGGAGAAAAUUCACUCUCUAAAACUAAAGGGGCGACCGAGUCUGAUUGAGGACAAAAUUCAGGGAAGUACUCUUAAAGCUGCUGGGAGGUCUAGUGAUGGUGGCAGAAAAUAGUAGGAUAAACCUCUUGACUAUAGCAGUAAAGAAAGCUAGUCUAAGGAUGGGAAACGCGUGUUAACAUAGUCUUGAUUUGAGUAUAUUCAGCCCUAAAAUUGUUACAGUUAUUGUACCCAUGUCAAACAUGUUUUUAUUUCUUCUCA